CCGUAGUUCAUGCAAACACACACAAAAGGCAUCAUCGUAGGAAAUCGUACAUAAAUGAAAGUAGCUUUUGACUUUGAACUUUCACUUAGUGUAAACAACUCAAAGUUUUGUCAAGGUGCUAUGGUGAACGAAUCUUGAACCAAGGACCCUAUCAUGACUAACCGGAGUCAUUACACAUACUAUUCCGAUAAAAAGGAGUGUAUCUUUUAUACCAACGCAUUAAUGGCCUUGCGUAUAUCCCGAAUUUCAUGAGUGCUUUAGGGACGAUCUAAAUCUCAUAGAAAACAGCCUGACUUUCUCACUCACAUAGGUAAGUUCUUUAUAAAAUAAUUCUGCGAGUUACUUUCUCUCUCAAUAGAACUUAUUAAGGAAUUAAAUCCAUCCUCAACCAUGCAGAAUACAUACGCUAGAGAUUUUAUGAAUGGGUUUGAACGAAUACUCUAGUGUCUCGUCUAAGUUAGACUUUAACUUGUUUGUACCCUUUGAACUUUGUUUAUAUUUCAAAACAUAAGUAGGGUUCCCAUUAAAGCUAACUGAAGUUACGUAGACCUCAAUCCCAUUCCUUUCGAUAUUUUCGCAAUCAUCUCUCUAGCCAAUCCUUUUGUCAAAGGAUCUGCUAGGUUAUUCUUCGACUCUACAUAUAUUCAACGGUGAUUACUCCUUGCUUAAGUAAUCCUCGAAGAGACUGAUGUCUAAUACUGAGAUGUCGUUGCUUACCAUUGCAAGUCUUGUUUGCUAUCGAAUACAAAGUAGCUUUACUAUCACAAUAGAUCAUCACAGCUGGAGAUGGUUUUUCCCACAAUGGGAUAUCUAUUAGCAAAUUUCUUAGCCAUUCAGCUUCUUUACUUGCAUCAGCCAAAGCAAUAAAUUCUGCCAACAUAGUCGAAUCUGAGACGCAUGUUUGUUUCUUAGAACACCAAGAAACAGUUGCACCUCCUAAAGUAAAAAUCCAACCUGUUGUGGAUUUAGAAUUCGAUUCUAUGUUGUUCCAACUUGCAUCGCUAUAUCCUUCAAGUACAGCGGGAAAUCCACGAUAAUGUAAUCCAUAAUCAAUCGUUCCUUUCAAGUAUCUUAGGAUUCUUGAAACCACAUUCCAAUGUUCUUUUCCUGGAUUGCUAG
rnacentral:lncRNA from 1 species